CUACGGGAUGCUGCAGUGGGGAAUCUUAGACAAUGGGCGCAAGCCUGAUCUAGCCAUGCCGCGUGAGUGAUGAAGGCCUUAGGGUCGUAAAGCUCUUUCGCUGGGGAAGAUAAUGACGGUACCCAGUAAAGAAACCCCGGCUAACUCGCGUGCCAGCAGCCGCGGUAAUACGGAGGGGGUUAGCGUUGUUCGGAAUUACUGGGCGUAAAGCGCGCGUAGGCGGACUGUUAAGUCGGGGGUGAAAUCCCGGGGCUCAACCCCGGAACGGCCUUCGAUACUGGCAGUCUGGAGUUCGAGAGAGGUGAGUGGAAUUCCGAGUGUAGAGGUGAAAUUCGUAGAUAUUCGGAGGAACACCAGUGGCGAAGGCGGCUCACUGGCUCGAUACUGACGCUGAGGUGCGAAAGUGUGGGGAGCAAACAGGAUUAGAUACCCGUGUAGUC
rnacentral:rRNA from 1 species